GGCCUCGGUGGCUCAGCUGGCUAGAGCGAGUGACUUGUAAUCACUAGGUCGCGUGUUCGAAUCACGCCCGGGGCUU
rnacentral:tRNA from 2 species